GCGGGUAUCAAGCAAAACAAGAAGUUUAUAAACAUACUAUACAGCGUUGGAUUGGUUUUUGUCAUCUAAAGUAGUGUGUCAUUGAUCCAUCUAAUAUUAAACCCUCAUCCUAGAUAGCCGAUGAAGUUGAGCUGACCCAGCACGGCCUUUCAGUUGUAAUUUUUUUUUUUUAAAUUUAAAAUUAAUUUUUUUUCAAUUGAAACAUCGAAUGGAAGCUUUUAAC
rnacentral:lncRNA from 1 species